rnacentral:rRNA from 1 species
UUAAGCAAGAAAGGGCGCAGGGUGGAUGCCUUGGCACUGAGAGCCGAAGAAAGACGUGAUAAGCUGCGAUAAGCAGCGGUGAGGAGCAAAUAUCCGAUGACCCGCUGAUUUCUGAAUGGGGAAACCCGGCUGAGCAACCCUCAGUCACCAUAUGCUGAAUACAUAGGUAUAUGGAGGGAACCCGCUGAACUGAAACAUCUAAGUAGGCGGAGGAAGAGAAAGAAACAUCGAUUCUGUGAGUAGCGGCGAGCGAAAACGGAAGAGCCUAAACCGGAGCGCGUGCGUUCCGGGGUUCGGACUGCGACAUGUGAGCAAUAGGAUAACAGAACAGUCUGGGAAGUCAGACCAGAGAGGGUGAAAGUCCCGUAUGUGAAAUCCGAGUUGCAGCUAGCAGGAUCCAGAGUACCACGAGACACGAGAAACCUUGUGGGAAGGCAGGGAGACCACUCCCUAAGGCUAAAUACUACUCAGUGACCGAUAGCGCAUAGUACUGUGAAGGAAAGGUGAAAAGGACCCCGGGAGGGGAGUGAAAGAGAACCUGAAACCCUGUGUCUACAAGCUGUGGAAGAUCUUUACAUGAUCAACCGCGUACUUUUUGUAGAACGGUCCGGCGAGUUGCCAUGUCUGGCAAGGUUAAGUACUUAAGGUACGGAGCCGAAGUGAAAGCAAGUGUUAACAGCACGUUGAGUCAGACCGGGCAGACCCGAAACCGGGUGAUCUACCCAUGUCCAGGUUGAAGUUGCCGUAAAAGGCAAUGGAGGACCGAACGCACAUCCGUUGAAAAGGGUGGCGAUGAGGUGUGGGUAGGGGAGAAAUUCCAAUCGAACCCGGAGAUAGCUGGUUCUCCUCGAAAUAGCUUUAGGGCUAGCCUCAUAUUAGUCUUGCGGAGGUAGAGCACUGAAUAUCCUAGGGGGCGUCAAAGCUUACCGAAGAUUAUCAAACUCCGAAUGCCGUAAAGAUGAUGUAUGGGAGUCAGACUGCACGAGAUAAGUUGGGUAGUCAAAAGGGAAAGAGCCCAGACCUACAGCUAAGGUCCCAAAGUGCGUGUUAAGUGGAAAAGGAUGUGGGAUUUCGAAGACAACUAGGAUGUUGGCUCAGAAGCAGCCAUACAUUCAAAGAGUGCGUAAUAGCUCACUAGUCGAGAGGUCCUGCGCCGAAAAUGUCCGGGGCUGAAACACGACACCGAAGCUUAGGAAUCGAAAGAUUGGUAGAGGAGCAUUGAAUACGGAACGAAGCAGUACCGGAAGGAGCUGUGGACUGUAUUGAAGAGAGAAUGCCGGAAUGAGUAGCGAGAUUUAAGUGAGAAUCUUAAAGGCCGAAUAUCUAAGGUUUCCAGGGUAAAGCUGAUCUUCCCUGGGUAAGUCGGGGCCUAAGGCGAGGACGAAAGUCGUAGUCGAUGGAUAACAGGUUGAAAUUCCUGUACCGCAUAUAUUCAGAAAUGUGGGGACACAGAUGGAGAGUACAGCCCGGGAAUGGAUAGACCGGGGCAAGCGAGGUAGGAGAAUGGCAGGCAAAUCCACCAUUCAAUCUGAAGACGUGACGCGUACCGAACAAGAGUAGGGAAGUGUAUGAGCCAGCUGUCGAGAAAAGCCGCUAUUGUGAUAUAUGCGCCCGUACCGUAAACCGACACAGGUGGAUGAGGAGAGAAUCCUAAGGCCGGCGGGAGAAGUGUUGUUAAGGAACUCGGCAAAAUGACUCCGUAACUUCGGGAGAAGGAGUGCCACAGAGAUGUGGCCGCAGAGAAAUGGCCCAAGCAACUGUUUAGCAAAAACACAGGUCUAUGCAAAACCGAAAGGUGAGGUAUAUGGGCUGACGCCUGCCCGGUGCUGGAAGGUUAAGAGGAGAGCUUAGCGCAAGCGAAGGUUUGAAUUUAAGCCCCAGUAAACGGCGGCCGUAACUAUAACGGUCCUAAGGUAGCGAAAUUCCUUGUCGGGUAAGUUCCGACCCGC